CGAUCGUAGUCCGGAUUGGAGUCUGCAACUCGACUCCAUGAAGUCGGAAUCGCUAGUAAUCGCGGAUCAGAAUGCCGCGGUGAAUACGUUCCCGGGCCUUGUACACACCGCCCGUCACACCAUGGGAGUUUGUUGCACCAGAAGUAGCUAGCCUAACUGCAAAGAGGGCGGUUACCACGGUGUGGCCGAUGACUGGGGUGAAGUCGUAACAAGGUAGCCGUAGGGGAACCUGCGGCUGGAUCACCUCCUUAA
rnacentral:rRNA from 1 species